GACGAACGCUGGCGGCGUGCCUAACACAUGCAAGUCGAGCGGGGACAUUGCGACAGAUAUGAAGUCUUCGGAUGAAUUUGAAGAUGUAAUGUUCUAGCGGCGGACGGGUGAGUAACGCGUGAGCAACCUGUCCCUUACAGGGGGAUAACACAGCGAAAGUUGUACUAAUACCGCAUAAGACCACAGAGUGACAUCACUUAGGGGUCAAAGGAGCAAUCCGGUAAGGGGUGGGCUCGCGUCCGAUUAGAUAGUUGGUGAGGUAACGGCCCACCAAGUCGACGAUCGGUAGCCGACCUGAGAGGGUGAUCGGCCACAUUGGGACUGAGACACGGCCCAAACUCCUACGGGAGGCAGCAGUGGGGAAUAUUGGGCAAUGGGGGAAACCCUGACCCAGCAACGCCGCGUGAGGGAAGAAGGUUUUCGGAUCGUAAACCUCUGUCCUUGGUGAAGAGAAAGAGACGUAGCCAAGA
rnacentral:rRNA from 1 species